AUUAAGGAUUACAGAUGCAUCUGGGCAGUGUUCGUCUGUUCGUGCGUGAACAAUGUUUUUUAUCACUUCACAUUAGGUUACUGUAAAAUGCUCCUUUUAAAAGUUACAUAUAAAAUGGAUUUCAAUUUAUAAAAUGAUGUUUACUGAUAAUUAAUUAUAGAAAAGUACGUUGUGAUAAUGGAUAGUGAAUGUGACGUAUUAUGAACUACAUCAGUAAAAUGGCAUCACGGAAGAAAUCACAGGCGAGAGAACGCGUUUACAAAUGCCUGUGCAAGAGAAGGCACAUAAGAUGGAAAAUUGAUGUAGCGCGCUUGGGAAAGGACGAGACGUUACGGUGCUACACACUUUACGUUAUCAAUAACAUAAAUUGUUGUGACAUUGGACGAUAUUACCACGCUGACACGGCGGCGAAAGGGAGGAGGCGUAGGGGAAGCGGUAGCGAAUGAGACACGGGAACUACAGGAAACACGAAAUGACCAACCAGGAAAACCACGACAAUUGGCGAUCUGUCAGAACAAAUUCCUAUUCUAACACAUUCACUAUUUAAACCCAAACGGAAAGUUCUUGGAAGUACUAAUGAAGCCUGCUUUUCCUUCAUGCGUUACAAUCUACGUGCUAAAGCUAGCUUGUAGGUAUUUUAUCGAUGGAUAAUGACAGAUUACUGUUCGUGAACCAUUUAUACCUAUCAUAUUCAUUAUUACAGAUUCCGAAUACGUUUAAUUUAUCAGAUAUGACGACAAAGGUUUGCACCUAGCCGUGUAUAUAAUUGUUUACUUAUAAAUAAUAUUUUAUGAAGAUCUUACUGGUAUAUUUAUGUUUUUUUAUCUACAUUACAUGAGAAUAUCAGAACAUAUGCACUGUGUCUGAUUUCUUUCAAAUUUAGUCUUACAACAUUUACUUCUGAAAUACAAACUGGACUUACUUUUGUUUCCAGUGAUGUAAUUCAGUUAUUUCUAGCCCAUUCAUGAAAUUUUUACGUGUUGUUUGUGCUCUGUAACAAAAAUACAUGACCACAUAAUAAGAAGGUAAGUCAUUACCGGUAGAAUGCGGCUUUGUCUCGUAAAUUAUUUCCACGGAACAAUUUUAAAUUAAGGUUUAAAAGAUGCACUAAGAAUUUCUUAGUAGAGUUUGUAACGGUAGAGCAUUGACUUGGGGUGAGAAAGUGUUCCGGCCAUUAACAGUGAUGUCAGUAAGCUGCAAGUUUCUAUUAAAUUCUAAAUUACAAAACCAGAACUGGAACUUAAGUGUAAUUUCACACUGACAAGAUUUAAUAUAGAACAGUAUUUAAUAGAGGAAGUUUAUUCCAAGUGUAAUUUCAGUUGUUUCAAGUGCAGUAACAAAUAAUAUAAUUAAUUGUAAAGAGUUUUUAAUAAA